UUAAAACACUUUAAAACACUUAUAGACCAUGAUUAAAAAUGGUUAAAAUAUAUGGUCUAUCAACUCCCCCAGACUUACCUUUUUGCUUGUCCCCAAGCAAAACAGACGGGCAGUCUCUCUGAAAGAGGUUUUGAAAACAGCAGGGACUCACAUGAUUUAAAACUUAGAAUCGUCACCUCUACAAUAUUAAAAUCCACAUAUAAGAUGUCCUAAUCACAGAAGCACAUUAUACCAUAUCCUAGCUUAGCAACCAAAUUCACCUAGCAAAUCAUGUCUGACAUUCCCCUCUACCAACCUCAUUUCUUAACAUAAAUAAAUGUGUAUGCUUUACCUUGGGAGUAUCGAUCACAAGACACAUGGACUCUUACCCCAACAGGUAUCUGAGUAAAUAGGCAGUGUUGUUCUGGUUUCUUUUACUCUAUAUCUUCCUUCUCUGAAUCCUUUUUAUCUCAAUUCCAAUGAGCAAAGAUGCCGAUGCACCAUCUUAUUCACUUUCUUUUCGAUUUUUUUUAUUAUUAUUAUUUUUUUUUUCUUGACAAAGUGUAGGCGAAUAGUGGGGUCAUCGGUAAUGUACCUACCCCUCGCUUCAAACAAUGUGUGAUCAUUCUAUUAGAGUAGAAUAAUGGGGUCAUCGGUAAUGUACCUACCCCUCUAAACCACAAGAAAUCAUCUCAAUCUUUUAUUUUAUUUUAUUAGGAUGCCAAAGGGAGGAGAUAAGGAAACCAAAAUCACUCAGACUUUUACCUUUCAGACCUGAAGGAGGAAUCCGAUCCAGUGUAUACCAAGCCCCAAGACAAGCAGUUAAGUCAAAUUAGGUUGGAGGUCAACUUUGGUUCUUUCAAACAAUCUCAGCAAGUGUGAACAUAGUUGACAGGUUGAUCCACUUUAGUAUCUUUAGUACUAUCUGCAAUCAGUAAGUCUAGAAUGGUGCUAAAGACUGGUUAGAUAACAAGCAUUAAUCUAAUAAGUUCAUUAUCCCCUUCUUGACUCAAUAAAACCAGAUUUUGAAUUUUUUUUAAAUAAGACUCAUAAAGGUAGAUAAACGUUAGUAAUCCCCCCAUACUUAAAUUACACUGUCCCCAGUGUAACACAGUCGGUGGUAAGGUGAAAAUCAUAAAGCAGAAGUACAAAAUUUAACAAGUAAGAACGAUAACCUGCUUAGUAUCGAUCGAUACAAUGAAGUGACAAUCGAUCGUUGUUGAUGAAGCGUUGUCGAUCGAUAUCGAGAUGGUCUCAUCGGUCGAUGAUCUGAGCAAUCGUUUACAUGGAUCUGUUUUUUUUUUUUUUUCAUAACUAAAACACAAUAUCAGUAAAACCUCCCCCAGACUUAGAUAACGCUGUGACCAGUGUAUAUCCAGUCGGAGUUAUGGUGUAA
rnacentral:lncRNA from 1 species